UACGAAGGGGGCUAGCGUUGCUCGGAAUCACUGGGCGUAAAGGGUGCGUAGGCGGGUCUUUAAGUCAGGGGUGAAAUCCUGGAGCUCAACUCCAGAACUGCCUUUGAUACUGAAGAUCUUGAGUUCGGGAGAGGUGAGUGGAACUGCGAGUGUAGAGGUGAAAUUCGUAGAUAUUCGCAAGAACACCAGUGGCGAAGGCGGCUCACUGGACCACAACUGACGCUGAUGCACGAAAGCUAGGGGAGCAAACAGG
rnacentral:rRNA from 1 species